GACGAACGCUGGCGGCGUGCCUAAUACAUGCAAGUAGAACGCUGAAGAGAGGAGCUUGCUCUUCUUGGAUGAGUUGCGAACGGGUGAGUAACGCGUAGGUAACCUGCCUGGUAGCGGGGGAUAACUAUUGGAAACGAUAGCUAAUACCGCAUAAACUGGAUUAUCGCAUGAUAAUCCAUUGAAAGGUGCAAAUGCAUCACUACCAGAUGGACCUGCGUUGUAUUAGCUAGUUGGUGGGGUAACGGCUCACCAAGGCGACGAUACAUAGCCGACCUGAGAGGGUGAUCGGCCACACUGGGACUGAGACACGGCCCAGACUCCUACGGGAGGCAGCAGUAGGGAAUCUUCGGCAAUGGACGGAAGUCUGACCGAGCAACGCCGCGUGAGUGAAGAAGGUUUUCGGAUCGUAAAGCUCUGUUGUAAGAGAAGAACGAGUGUGAGAGUGGAAAGUUCACACUGUGACGGUAUCUUACCAGAAAGGGACGGCUAACUACGUG
rnacentral:rRNA from 1 species